rnacentral:rRNA from 1 species
GACGAACGCUGGCGGCGUGCUUAACACAUGCAAGUCGAACGGAAAGGCCCUGCUUUUGUGGGGUGCUCGAGUGGCGAACGGGUGAGUAACACGUGAGUAACCUGCCCUUGACUUUGGGAUAACUUCAGGAAACUGGGGCUAAUACCGGAUAGGAGCUCCUGCUGCAUGGUGGGGGUUGGAAAGUUUCGGCGGUUGGGGAUGGACUCGCGGCUUAUCAGCUUGUUGGUGGGGUAGUGGCUUACCAAGGCUUUGACGGGUAGCCGGCCUGAGAGGGUGACCGGCCACAUUGGGACUGAGAUACGGCACAGACUGCUACGGGAGGCCGCAGUGGGGAAUAUUGCACAAUGGGCGGAAGCCUGAUGGAGCAACGCCGCGUGCGGGAUGACGGCCUUCGGGUUGUAAACCGCUUUCGCCUGUGACGAAGCGUGAGUGACGGUAAUGGGUAAAGAAGCACCGGCUAACUACGUG